rnacentral:rRNA from 1 species
UACGGGGGGGGCAAGCGUUGUUCGGAAUUACUGGGCGUAAAGGGCCAGUAGGCGGCCAACUAAGUCGGAUGUGAAAUCCCCAGGCUUAACCUGGGAACUGCAUCCGAUACUGGAUGGCUUGAAUUCGGGAGAGGGAUGCGGAAUUCCAGGUGUAGCGGUGAAAUGCGUAGAUAUCUGGAGGAAUACCGGUGGCGAAGGCGGCAUCCUGGACCGACAUUGACGCUGAACGGCGAAAGCUAGGGGAGCAAACGGG